AAACACAUAUUUAAUGGCAUCAUUAUCAGCACAUACCAUAAAUCAAGUAUUGAGUAGUGGAGGAAAAGAGUAGGUAACAGAAGUAAUAUUUAUGGAGUGCUUAUUUUUUUAUUGACAUGUGCUGUGACUUUUACAUAGUUGCCCUAUUUAACCCCCACACCAAAAUCUGGUGAAGUGAUACUAUUCCCAUUUUAUCGGUCACAAAACUGAGGCUUAUAAUGUUUAAGUAAUUUGAGCAGAUAGUAAAUUAUAUGAAUGCGGUAAAAAGUUAUUCAAUUUGACUCCAGGACAGUACUUCUUCCCAACAAACAUCAGUUUCCAUCAAUGAACAAAAAAUUUUGAAGGAUGAAUGUUCCUUGGGCUCCCCGAAGAAGAGAUUUUGACAUAGAACUUGGCCUGAAAAAUGCUUGUUCAUACUGUUCAGAUUAAUGCUUAUGGAAGGGUGAAGAUGAAGCAGGAGUGAGCGAAGGGAGAAGAAAAGCAGUGAAACAGACCCAAGGAAAGGCUCAGACUGUCCUCUUGGGAUCACUGGAGCAGGGUGGUUCCUCAGUGUUAUUACAAGUUGAGCUGUGAAGGCCAUGUAUUUAUAUUUUGAUGUCAGUCAGUCACUGAAUAUGGAUAACAGAAGAAAGAGGCAGGAUCUUGUGUGAGGUCAUUCUCUGCAGUUGAGGCUAUUCCUAAAGGGACUGACAGCUGAUGGAGGUCACAGCAGCUGAGGCAAGUUUUUCACUGAAGGAGGAUCUGGGUGGCCUGUCGCAGUGUCCACUUCAAAGUUAUCAGAUCUCCUUCAUUCUGAGAGAAGAGAGCCAUGAAAAUGAAAGAAAAUAGAAAAGUUUGACAAUAAUACCCAGAGAAAUAUCACCUGGACUAAAGCUGGUCAAAGUCCAGAGUGACAAUGAAAGCCACAUUUGUGUUUGAGGACAAUGGAGCUUAGAGAAGCCCGAUUUUCUAAAUAACAUGGAGCAAAAUUUCCUCUUGUUCAUUCCUCCUCCUCACUGAUUAGAUUUUAUGUGAGUGCAAAAUAAACUUUGAUUGUGUUAAACUACA
rnacentral:lncRNA from 13 species